AAUCUUCCGCAAUGGACGAAAGUCUGACGGAGCAAUGCCGCGUGAGUGAAGAAGGNUUNNGGAUCNUNAAACUCUGUUGUUAGNNNNNAACAAGGAUGAGCGUAACUACUCAUACCCUGACGGUAUCUAACCAGAAAGCCAUGGCUAACUACGUGCCAGCAGCCGCGGUAAUACGUAGAUGGCAAGCGUUGUCCGGAUUUAUUGGGCGUAAAGCGAGCGCAGGCGGUUCUUUAAGUCUGAUGUGAAAGCCCCCAGCUCAACUGGGGAAGGUCAUUGGAAACUGGGGAACUUGAGUGCAGAAGAGGAGAGUGGAAUUCCACGUGUAGCGGUGAAAUGCGUAGAUAUGUGGAGGAACACCAGUGGCGAAGGCGACUCUCUGGUCUGUAACUGACGCUGAGGCUCGAAAGCGUGGGGAGCAAACAG
rnacentral:rRNA from 1 species